UCCGCAAUGGGCGAAAGCCUGACGGAGCAAUACSGCGUGAGGGAUGACGGCCUAUGGGUUGUAAACCUCUUUUUUCAGGGAGGAAUCAAUGACGUGUACCUGAAGAAUAAGCAUCGGCUAACUCCGUGCCAGCAGCCGCGGUAAGACGGAGGAUGCAAGUGUUAUCCGGAAUCACUGGGCGUAAAGCGUCUGUAGGUGGUCAAAUAAGUCAACUGUUAAAUCUUGAGGCUCAACCUCAAAAUCGCAGUCGAAACUAUUAGACUAGAGUAUAGUAGGGGUAAAGGGAAUUUCCAGUGGAGCGGUGAAAUGCGUAGAGAUUGGAAAGAACACCGAUGGCGAAGGCACUUUACUGGGCUAUUACUGACACUCAGAGACGAAAGCUAGGGUAGCAAAUGGGAUUAGAUACCCCAGUAGUCCUAGCUGUAAACAAUGGAUACUAGAUGUUGAACAGAUCGACCUGUGCAGUAUCAAAGCUAACGCGUWAAGUAUCCCGCCUGGGGAGUAUGCUCGCAAGAGUGAAACUCAAAUGAAUUG
rnacentral:rRNA from 1 species